rnacentral:lncRNA from 12 species
GCAGAGUGAAUCUCACCAAAACAAGGUUUUUCUUAUUUUCUUAACUCUUAUAAUUAAAAAGUAACAUUUCAUUUUAUUUAUUUGCAUGUGAGCACAUUUUCUUCUCAAAUGGUCAUUACUGUAGUUCAUCCUCUUUUUUCUUUCAUUUCAAUUAUCAUUAAUCUCACUAAAUUCUCCUUCUAUUAAUACAAUGCCAUUUAACAUUUGAAUCGGUAUAAAAUAAUGUCAGCACAACAAAAACUAUCAUGAUGUGCAUAUACAAUGUAAAUAUUAGUUUGUCAAAUUACAGUAAUGUGAACUGAAGGUUUAAAUGUGCUUAAUGUUCAUGAAAAUAAAAAAGUUUUUGUUUUAUGCAAAACAAAAUUUCCUAUUUCUUUCAUUUGAUUUUGGAGUCAGACGUGAUCUCGACAGACUUGAUGAGAUUCACCCGCCUGCACGUUGUAAAUGAACAAAAGCGUAUCAGUGUCCGACAUAAAGACAUAAACGAAUGUUUGUAAUAAAUGUUGAAGCGAAGCAGAAGUCCUGAGGUGCGUCUCGAUUCUUCUCCAGUGGUUGCGAUGCAGCAUCUGUUUUGGCCGAGCUGGUGCUGAGGAACGUCUUCUGCAUUACCCAGAAUUCCAUGAGAAGGGCAUUUGUGUGUUUCAUCACAACUGUUGGUGUUCUUUAAAAACUACUGAGCAAAAGAAGCAGCCAGAUCGUCAGAGAGAAAGUAGGAAAGAACAUUUUAAGGGUUUGUUUGUUAGUCCAGUCAGAACAUCGUCCACGAUUCCAUGCGUUUGCAUGUCUGUAUUUUCAGUCCCAAUUCACUACGAAUGGCCAAUGCAAAAAUUGUUGCAUUAUGUAUUACAAUUUUCAUUAAAAAAAAAAAAAAAAACGCGUCAAAUUGAAGGUCAUCAAGGGCAGACUUUGGUCUGGUUUGGGAAUCUGUGAUCUGGUGCGUCCUCAAUAGAGACUGACACAAAUACACACUACCAGCCAAAACGAUUUCUGAAAGAAAUCUCUUCUCCUCAACGAGGCUGCAUUUAUUUGAUCAAAAUACAGUACAAAUAAUUCUGAAAUAUUUUUGCAAUUUAAAAUAGUUGUUUUCUAUGUGAAUAUCUGUUAAAAUGUAAUUUAUUCCANAAACAUAGAAAACAGCUGUUUUAAAUUGUAAUAAUAUUUCGCUUUUUUCUGUAUUUUGAUCAAAUAAAUGCAGCCUUGCUGAGCAGAAGAGACUUCUUUNUGUUGAAAACAGUCCAGUAUUUUUGUGGAAACUGAUACUUUUUUUUUCAGGAUUCAUAGAUGAAUAGAAAGUUCAAAAGAACAGCAUUUAUUUGAAACUUAACAUUAUAAACAUUAUAUUAUAAAUGUCACAUUAUAAAUGUCUUUACUGUCACUUUUGAUCGAUUUAAUGUGUCCUGAAUAAAGUAUUUAUUAUCUACUAAACUUUAAACUUUUGAAUAGUAAUGAAUGACAGUUUUCUCAAAAAUACAAACUCUUCAGCAAUGAUAAUACUCAGAAAUGUUUCUUGAACAUUUUAACAUAUAUUCACAUAGAAAACAGCUGUUUUAAAUCGUACUAAUAUUUCGCUUUUUUCUGUAUUUUGAUCAAAUAAAUACAGCCUUGCUGAGCAGAAGAGACUUCUUUCAUUAACAUCUUAAUAAUUCCAAACUUUCUGUAGUGUGUGACCCUUAGACCAAAGAUGAGGUCGCAGAUAAAUGUGUCUUCUAACGU